AUCAUUAUUUUUCUUUCCAGGUGUUACGUCUUUAUGUGCAACUGCCCUUGUAUGGUGUUUUCUUGCAUGAUGGGGCUCAUCUCAGGCAAAAAUCCACGUCCCUUUGCAAGAACUCGUUCCAGAAAUGAAGACUAUUUACUUUUGGCCCAACCAUGAACAUGUGAUAAUAUUUAGUGUGAUUCCUGUAAAAGUGAUGAUCAAUUCCCUUAGAGAAUUUUUUUUAUGGAUUACAUCUUUAAUUGCAUGUAAUUUAGGCCUACUUGAGAAAGUACAGAUAAUUUACAGUGGUAAUGUAUGGAAUUAGGCCUGGCUGUAUCAAUGUAACAAUAAUAUGGAAAUAAUAAAGAAMAAACAGGAUCUGUGGAAGGGUA